GAGUACAUGAAAUAACGUCAGCUGUAUCAGCCAUAUGCCAGACACACCACCAGAGAGAACCAUGAGUGUGGAGCACAGAGACUGACACGCCAGAGACGGCCGUGAA
rnacentral:lncRNA from 1 species